AACCUAGCACACCUGCGGUGUGUACCUGCGGAAGGAUCAUUACCGUGGGGAUUCGUCCCCAUUGAGAUAGACACCCUUUGUUUAUGAGUACCGCUUGUUUCCUCGGCAGGCCUGCCUGCCGCUAGGACACCCCUAUAAACCUUUUGUAGUUGCAGUAUCUUCAGUAAUAAAAACAAAAAUAUCAAAACUUUCAGCAAUGGAUCU
rnacentral:misc_RNA from 1 species